AUACGGAGGGUGCAAGCGUUACUCGGAAUCACUGGGCGUAAAGCGCGCGCAGGCGGGUUGGCAAGUCAGAUGUGAAAUCCUACAGCUUAACUGUAGAACUGCAUUUGAAACUGCUAACCUAGAGUAUGGGAGGGGGAGAUGGAAUUAGUGGUGUAGGGGUAAAAUCCGUAGAUAUCACUAGGAAUACCGAAAGCGAAGGCGAUCUCCUGGAACAUAACUGACGCUAAGGCGUGAAAGCGUGGGGAGCAAACAGGAUUAGAAACCCUUGUAGUCC
rnacentral:rRNA from 1 species